AACGAACGCUGGCGGCAUGCCUAACACAUGCAAGUCGAACGAUGCCUUCGGGCAUAGUGGCGCACGGGUGCGUAACGCGUGGGAAUCUGCCCUUGGCUUCGGAAUAACAGUUAGAAAUGACUGCUAAUACCGGAUGAUGUCCCCCUGAGAGAUCUUGGGGACCAAAGAUUUAUCGGCCAGGGAUGAGCCCGCGUAGGAUUAGGUAGUUGGUGGGGUAAAGGCCUACCAAGCCGACGAUCCUUAGCUGGUCUGAGAGGAUGAUCAGCCACACUGGGACUGAGACACGGCCCAGACUCCUACGGGAGGCAGGAGUGGGGAAUAUUGGACAAUGGGGGGAACCCUGAUCCAGCAAUGCCGCGUGAGUGAUGAAGGCCUUAGGGUUGUAAAGCUCUUUUACCAGGGAUGAUAAUGACAGUACCUGGAGAAUAAGCUCCGGCUAACUCCGUG
rnacentral:rRNA from 1 species